AGUCUCCAAUGAAUGCAUGUUUUGGGGAUGUGGGAGAAAAGCCACGCAGGCAAGGAGAGAGCAUGCAAACUCAGUGACUCAUCUGAACCCUGGUCCUCAGAACUGUGAGGCUAACCUAUGUUAGCCUAACUGAAAAGUUUCAGGUCGGGUCGCAGGGGAAGUAGCUUCAAGAGGGAUACCCAGACUUCACUUUCCCCAGCCACUUCGUCCAGCUCUUCCGGAGGGAUCCCGAGGUGUUCCCAAGCCAGCCGAGAGACAUGGUCUCUCCAGCGUGUCCCGGGUCGUCCUCGGGGUCGCUUUCCGGUGGGACAUGCCCGGAACACCUCACUAGGGAGGCAUCCGAAUCAGAUGCCCCAGCCACCUCAUCUGGCUCCUCUCAACGCGGAGGAACAGCGGCUCGGCAUUGAGCCCCUCCCGAAUCCUCACUUGGGUCACAAUUUUCUACUUGAUCAUUCUUCUGCUUGGAGACAGGCGGGAGUAGUGGCAGGACAACUCGCGACAAAGUGCCAAUCCGCUGAUGACGACUCCUGGCUGAGAAUGAUGCGGAUCUUCCAGGGAAUCCAUUUCAAAGACACGGACGGCAUCAAAAUGGCCGAAACCGAAGAGCUCCAUGGGAUCCUGGGAGGGUAUUUCCAAGAGUACAUGAAAACAGGGCAGAAAAUUACCAUAUUUUUCUAGUUUUGCGUUUGAAAUGUAUUUUUUCUGAUGUCAUUCCUGGAAGGUUUAAAGAAGACGGAGAGUUUUUAGGUUGAAGAACUUUUUUUUUUUUUUCCAGCGAGGUCAUUGAAGUAUAUGUCAUUGAUUAGGCUGCGGAGACUUUGGUCUUAAAUGAAAAUCUGUGUCGUGAGCCAGGCUGGACCACGGCCAAGAAGGUCGUGGCCACUGCUCGAGGCGGUGACACCUGUCAGCGCUCACGGCUGUUUCACAUUGGGACUGUAAUUAGGUUGUGUAUUGAAGUUGGAGUUUGACACUGGCAUUUGCCAGUUCGUCUUGCCCUGAUUUAGUGAGUUGCAUUCACUGACAGUAGGAAUCUCCUCCACUGAAAAUAGUGUAGUGUUGAGCUAUCCUUGUCACAGUGUUCUGUUUAGUCCUGUCUUAGUUUAUAUUUCAUAGUCGAGUCGUAGUUCAUAGUUUGUCUCCUCGUCAUCAGACCUCGCUGCAUGUCUUUUGGAUCCUGCCUAGCCUAGCGUUUCUGUACCUAUGCCUUCUCGGACUGCUUACACCGUGUAUGACCUCAUCUUUGAAUAAAAACUAUGCCUAACAUCA